rnacentral:rRNA from 1 species
CUUAGUAACGGCGAGUGAAGCGGCAAAAGCUCAAAUUUGAAAUCGGCCACCAGGUCGAGUUGUAAUUUGUAGAUUGUAUCUUGAGAGCGGAUUAAAGUCUGUUGGAACACAGCGCCUUAGAGGGUGACAGCCCCGUAAAAUCUAUUCUCAUUGUAAGAUACUUUCGAAGAGUCGAGUUGUUUGGGAAUGCAGCUCUAAGUGGGAGGUAAAUUCCUUCUAAAGCUAAAUAUUGACGAGAGACCGAUAGCGAACAAGUACUGUGAAGGAAAGAUGAAAAGCACUUUGAAAAGAGAGUGAAAAAGUACGUGAAAUUGUUAAAAGGGAAGGGUUAUGGAUUCAGACUUGGUGCUGUUGUUCAACUGUGUUUUGGCACAGUGUACUCAGCAGUACUAGGCCAAGGUGGGGUGUUUGGGAGUGAAAAAGAAGUNUGGAACGUAACUCUUCGGAGUGUUAUAGCCUACUUUCAUAGCUCCUCAGGCGCCUCAGGNUGCGCUU